AGCACUUGGGGCCCCUGCUCACAUUUCUACACUCAUUGUCCAGAGAGAAAGUCAACAGCACCUUUAGGCUUUCACUAACAUCACUCCCAUACCUGGACAAAAACAAAAUUACAUCUAUGAAUUUAAAGGACUUUUCCGCUAACAUCUGAGCUUCAGAUUUAACGCUGAGGAGUAAGACAGAAGAAGAAGCUGGCCAUCUGACAAAGGAAUUAAAACCAACCACAACAACUAAGAUGGAAACACUUGAUCCUUCAACUCUGUCUUCUACUGUCGCCUACGACCCUAAAUCUGAGACAGUGACACUACCAGGAGGGGUUGUCUCGGUUGCGGGCGUCACUGUAGUGACCGGGGGUGUUGAGCUGUCUUGUGGAUCGUGUAUGCUGGCUUUUGGUUUUUGGGGAACUCUCAUCGGCUUCAGUUGUGUAGCAGUGGGGCUGUGGGACCAACUGAACCACUCUGAAGGAAGAACCUCUCACUUACUGGGACUGGGAUUUGUAAUUCUGGCCCUCUGUUUCGUGGUGGUGGGAAGUGUGGUGGCAUUUCACCUCCUGACAAAGAAAAAGAGAGAGACGACAAGAGUGGACAGAGAGGAUGGAAAAGAAGUUCUUGUAGAGAGUGGGAGGGUAAUUAAAAAAGUCACAAUAUAAAGAAGAAAUUGAAGAAAAAUGUCAUAUUGGGCAAAAGAAAAGAAAAAAAGCUCACUACUGCAUUUCCCUUUAUAUUUUAAUCAAAAUUAUGUAGAAAUGUAACUCCUGUUUUACAGUAAGACAACACAUUUCCUCGUAUCAACCAGAUGCAUACUUUAUUUAUUUAAUUUUAUUUACUCUACUUGUAUGUAAGUAAGAAUACAGGACAUUUACUUGUAGUGUUUUACGAUUAAAAAAGGUAUUGCUACUUUUAUUCAUGUAACACUUGCAUCAGUAGUACUCCUUAAACCACUGCCUACUGUUUUUCACUCAUUCCUGUAUUUUCUUUCGUUCACACAACUGAUAAUUUAAAUGUAACAUGUAGCAGUGUGUACUAUAAUAAAUUAACUUCAUGUAA